UUCCUCAUUGAUUAGGAUAUAAAAAGGCUGGCUUGGAGGCAGCCAUGAUCUGCUGUCGAGAAUCACACUGAAAGAACGGUUGACGACCCACCCCAGUCCUGCGUAGAAGCAAAAUGAAGGCGUUUUUUCUUCUUUGUCUGCUUUGCAGUUUGAGACUCAUCUUGGCUUUUGUCCCUGGACCUCUCCCAGCAGAGGAAAAUGAGCCGUGUGACAUCGAAGCAUUGAGCAACUGCACCAAAAUCGGAUGCUGGUGUUACCAGUACUUCCCAGGGCCCCUGUCUUUUUAUUCUGCCAAUGAGUUUUGCAGAAAUCGAGGGUGUGGAGGACGCCUGGCUUCAAUCCACAGUUAUAAGGAGAACAAAUUGGUCUUUAAGCUUGUGCGUAAAGGGAACUCCUGUAGGCAGACAGCCUGGAUUGGGGCGCUCAGGUGU